rnacentral:rRNA from 1 species
GACGAACGCUGGCGGCGCGCUUAACACAUGCAAGUCGUGCGGUGUCGAAGGCAAGUCUUACGACAAGCCUUCGACACAGCGGCGAACGGGUGAGUAACACGUGAGUAGCUGUCCUAAGGAGGGGGAUAACGCCUGGAAACGGGUGCUAACACCCCAUAUGCCUCGCAAGAGGUGAAAGUGUACUUGCUACAGCCUUAGGGUGUGCUCGCGGCCUAUCAGCUAGUUGGUGAGGUAACGGCUCACCAAGGCCAAGACGGGUAGCCGGCCUGAGAGGGUGUACGGCCACACUGGAAUUGAGAUACGGUCCAGACUCCUACGGGAGGCAGCAGUGGGGAAUCUUGGGCAAUGGGCGAAAGCCUGACCCAGCGACGCCGCGUUGGGGAUGAAGCCCUUCGGGGCGUAACCCAUGUUGUAGGGGACGAAGAAAGUGACGGUACCCUACGAGAAAGCCCGGCCAACUACGUG